rnacentral:rRNA from 1 species
GAUGAACGCUGGCGGCGUGCCUAAUACAUGCAAGUCGAGCGAACAGAUGAGAAGCUUGCUUCCCUGAUGUUAGCGGCGGACGGGUGAGUAACACGUGGGUAACCUACCUAUAAGACUGGGAUAACUCCGGGAAACCGGGGCUAAUACCGGAUAAUAUUUUGAACCGCAUGGUUCAAUAGUGAAAGACGGUUUCGGCUGUCUCUUAUAGAUGGACCCGCGCCGUAUUAGCUAGUUGGUAAGGUAACGGCUUACCAAGGCGACGAUACGUAGCCGACCUGAGAGGGUGAUCGGCCACACUGGAACUGAGACACGGUCCAGACUCCUACGGGAGGCAGCAGUAGGGAAUCUUCCGCAAUGGGCGAAAGCCUGACGGAGCAACGCCGCGUGAGUGAUGAAGGUCUUCGGAUCGUAAAACUCUGUUGUUAGGGAAGAACAAAUUUGUUAGUAACUGAACAAGUCUUGACGGUACCUAACCAGAAAGCCACGGCUAACUACGUGCCAGCCGCCGCGGUAA